AACGAACGCUGGCGGUAUGCCUAACACAUGCAAGUCGCACGAGAAAGUACUUCGGUAUGAGUAGAGUGGCGCACGGGUGAGUAACACGUAGGUGACCUUCCGAAUAGUGGGGGAUAACUCGGAGAAAUCCGGGCUAAUACCGCAUAUGUACGACAAAUCUGAGAGUAGUCGUAGAAAGAAUGCCUCUACUUGUAAGCAUUCGCUAAUCGAUGGGCCUGCGGAGCAUUAGCUAGUUGGUGGGGUAAUGGCCUACCAAGGCUACGAUGCUUAACGGAUCUGAGAGGAUGAUCCGUCACACUGGAACUGAGACACGGUCCAGACUCCUACGGGAGGCAGCAGUGGGGAAUUUUGGACAAUGGGCGCAAGCCUGAUCCAGCCAUGCCGCGUGAGUGAAGAAGGCCU
rnacentral:rRNA from 1 species